rnacentral:rRNA from 1 species
CUACGGGAUGCAGCAGUGAGGAAUAUUGCGCAAUGGGGGAAACCCUGACGCAGCGACGCCGCGUGGAUGAUGAAGGCCUUAGGGUCGUAAAAUCCUGUCAGGUGAGAAGAAGUGGAUAUAGAUUAAUACUCUAUUUCUUUGACGGUACCACCAAAGGAAGCACCGGCUAACUCCGUGCCGGCAGCCGCGGUAAUACGGAGGGUGCAAACGUUGUUCGGAAUUACUGGGCGUAAAGCGCGCGUAGGCGGUUUGUUAAGUCAGAUGUGAAAGUCCAUGGCUCAACUAGGGAAGUGCAUUUGAAACUGGCAGACUUGAGUACUGGAGGGGGUGAUGGAAUUCCCGGUGUAGAGGUGAAAUUCGUAGAUAUCGGGAGGAAUACCGGUGGCGAAGGCGAUCACCUGGCCAGAUACUGACGCUGAGGUGCGAAAGCGUGGGGAGCAAACAGGAUUAGAUACCCCUGUAGUC